rnacentral:rRNA from 1 species
UGAAUACGAGACGCUACGGCGUUGAAGCAGUGUAUGUCAUACUUCCAAGAAAAGCUCGCAAGGUCAUAAACAAAUAAUGCCUGUACCAUAACCGACACAGGUGGGUAGGUAGAGUAUACUAAGGGGCGCGAGAUAACUCUCUCUAAGGAACUCGGCAAAAUGACUCCGUAACUUCGGGAGAAGGAGUGCCUUAUUUUAUAAGGUUGCAAUAACAAGAUCCAAGCAACUGUUUAUCAAAAACACAGGUCUCCGCUAAGACGUAAGACGAUGUAUGGGGGCUGACGCCUGCCCAGUGCCAGAAGGUUAAAGAAGUUGGUUAGCAAUUGCAAAGCUGAUGACUGAAGCCCUGGUGAACGGCGGCCGUAACAAUAACGGUCCUAAGGUAGCGAAAUUCCUUGUCGGGUAAGUUCCGACCCGCACGAAAGGCGUAAUGAUUUGGAUACUGUCUCAGAGAGGGGCUCGGUGAAAUAGACUUGUCUGUGAAGAUGCGGACUACCUGCACCUGGACAGAAAGACCCUAUGAAGCUUUACUGUAACUUGAAAUUGAAACUGGACUUUACUUGCGCAGGAUAGGAGGGAGGCGUUGAGAGUAUUCUUGCGGGAAUAUUGGAGCCAUCGGUGAGAUACCACUCUUGUAAUGUUAGGUUUCUAACUUGGUAUCAUGAUCUGGUCCAAGAACAGUUUCAGGCGGGCAGUUUGACUGGGGCGGUCGCCUCCUAAACGGUAACGGAGGCGUACAAAGGUUUCCUCUGAACGGGUAGAAAUCGUAUCUAGAGUGUAAAGGCAUAAGGAAGCUUGACUGUGAGACCUACAAGUCGAGCAGGGACGAAAGUCGGUCUUAGUGAUCUGACGGUGCUGAGUGGAAAGGCCGUCACUCAACGGAUAAAAGUUACUCUAGGAUAACAGGCUGAUCUCCCCCAAGAGUUCACAUCGACGGGAAGGUUUGGCACCUCGAUGUCGGCUCAUCGCAUCCUGGGGCGGUAGUACGUCCCAAGGGUUGGGCUGUUCGCCCAUGAAAGCGGUACGCGAGCUGGGUUCAGAACGUCGUGAGACAGUUCGGCCCAUAUCCGGUGUAGGCGUUAGAAUAUUGAGAGGAGCCUUCUUUAGUACGAGAGGACCGAGAAGGACACACCUAUGGUGUACCAGUUAUCGUGCCAACGGUAAACGCUGGGUAGCUAUGUGUGGAGUGGAUAACCGCUGAAAGCAUCUAAGUGGGAAGCCCACCUC